rnacentral:rRNA from 1 species
GUGGAUUAGAUACCCUGGUAGUCCACGCCGUAAACGGUGGGCGCUAGGUGUGGGGAACAUUCCACGUUCUCCGUGCCGCAGCUAACGCAUUAAGCGCCCCGCCUGGGGAGUACGGCCGCAAGGCUAAAACUCAAAGGAAUUGACGGGGGCCCGCACAAGCGGCGGAGCAUGCGGCUUAAUUCGAUGCAACGCGAAGAACCUUACCUGGGUUUGACAUAUGGGGAAAACUGGCAGAGAUGUCAGGUCCGCAAGGGCCCCAUACAGGUGGUGCACGGCUGUCGACAACU